UAAUCACGUGACUCAAGGCCAUGUGCUAGUAUCAACAGUGCGGCAGUGCCAGUGAAAAUCAGGCGGUAUGCCGGAGCAACACAGAGUCUUGAUUUUUAGAGGCAAGGUUGAAAGAAAGAAAUCAGUGUUGUAAAGAAAGAAAAAGAUUUUCCACUCAAAGAAUUUUGGAUGACACAGAGGGUUCAGGAACCAUAAAUUUGAUGUUGGAGUCUUAACUUCACCCUGAUAGACUUUGAGCACGUCAUGAGUUUAAGACCUAUUGACAAAAAUCUUGCAAUGGGAAGAUAACACAGCCUUGAUAAAAAUCAGAGAAAUCUCGAUAGA